AUUGAACGCUGGCGGCAGGCCUAACACAUGCAAGUCGAACGAGUGGCGGACGGGUGAGUAAUGUCUGGGAAACUGCCUGAUGGAGGGGGAUAACUACUGGAAACGGUAGCUAAUACCGCAUACCAUCGGAUGUGCCCAGAUGGGAUUAGCUAGUUGGUGGGGUAAAGGCUCACCUAGGCGACGAUCCCUAGCUGGCCUGAGAGGAUGACCGGCCACACUGGAACUGAGACACGGCCCAGACUCCUACGGGAGGCAGCAGUGGGGAAUCUUGCGCAAUGGACGCAAGUCUGAUCCAGCAACGCCGCGUGUGUGAAGAAGGCCUUCGGGUUGUAAAGUACUGUCAGUGGGGAAGCGUUAUCCGCAGAAGAAGCCCCGGCUAACUCCGUGCCAGCAGCCGCGGUAAUUC
rnacentral:rRNA from 1 species